CCAACCACGACUCCCAUCUAAUUACCCUGUUUCCUCUGAGCUGAUUGGAAAGUGGCCUUGUGUCUGGAAAAGGCAAUCUCCAAACUCUUGAAAGUUCAGAUCGGUCUCGAUCAACUCAUUUUUGUUGUGCUCAGUAUGCUUUGCCUCAAGUCAAAAGCCCCUGGCGACAAACAGACACCUUCUUCACAGUCAGAUGUGCAGGGAUACACUGUGCUGCUCCACAUCCCUACAAACUACUAUGUGCCCAUUCUCAGUGUAAGAUUUUCUACUGGUGUUUGGAAAAGCAUACCUGCUGA